UAAACGACUCUCGGCAACGGAUAUCUCGGCUCUCGCAUCGAUGAAGAACGUAGCGAAAUGCGAUACUUGGUGUGAAUUGCAGAAUCCCACGAACCAUCGAGUCUUUGAACGCAAGUUGCGCCCGAAGCCAUUAGGUUGAGGGCACGUCUGCCUGGGCGUCUCGC
rnacentral:rRNA from 1 species